GGGGACGAGGGGGGGAGCGGGAGAGACGCGGAAAAGGUCAAACUGAAGGCGAGCCGGGGAAGCGGCGGCUGCAGCGGCGGGAGCGGCGCCCCUUCCCGGCAGAUAUUCCCGAAAAUAACUUGGUUGUGCAACUCCUGUAGACUAACAACAAGUACUGACAAUUCCCCUACAACUGUUCCUCAUUGGGUUGCACAGACAUAUAAAUUCAAAAGAGAGAGGAGUAUUAGAAGCAGUGGCACAUUCCACCAGGACAAACUGACACACUCACGAUAAAGAAGCACAGACCUUAAAGGACAUUUGGUUGUCAUCUCAGGGACUUUGGGUGUUUCCUGAGGAGCUUUCCAUGACUUUGAAGGCCCGCAGAGGCAAUGGUGACUUUGGCACAUAUGCUCCCUCAAGAGUUUCAAUAGAAACAUUGGAUUCCUGGUCAACAGACUGACCUUGUUAUUACAGUGGUUUAACACCAGUUGCAUUAAAAUUCAUUCACAC